ensembl:snRNA LOC120094032 U2 spliceosomal RNA
AUCGCUUCUCGGCCUUUUGGCUAAGAUCAAGUGUAGAAAUAAAAAUAUAGAAAUAUAUUUAAAAGUCCAAAACUCCUU